rnacentral:rRNA from 1 species
CCUACGGGAGGCAGCAGUGAGGAAUAUUGGUCAAUGGGCGUAAGCCUGAACCAGCCAAGUCGCGUGAGGGAUGAAGGUUCUAUGGAUCGUAAACCUCUUUUAUAAGGGAAUAAAGUGUGGGUGGUGACCUGUUUUGUAUGUACCUUAUGAAUAAGGAUCGGCGAACUCCGUGCCAGCAGCCGCGGUAAUACGGAAGAUACGAGCGUUAUCCGGAUUGAUUGGGUUUAAAGGGUGCGUAGGCGGCCUGUUAAGUCAGCGGUGAAAGUCUGUGGCUCAACCAUAGAAUUGCCGUUGAAACUGGGAGGCUUGAGUGUGUUUGAGGCAAGCGGAAUGCGUGGUGUAGCGGUGAAAUGCGUAGAUAUCACGCAGAACACCGAUUGCGAAGGCAGCCUGCCAAGCCAUGACUGACGCUGAUGCACGAAAGCGUGGGGAUCAAACAGGAUUAGAUACCCUUGUAGUC